rnacentral:tRNA from 1 species
GCCGGGGUGCUGGAACGGUAGACAGGGUGGUCUCAAAAACCACUUCCCGUAAGGGAGUGAGGGUUCGACUCCCUCUCCCGGCACCA